rnacentral:piRNA from 1 species
UGACUUAUGGUUUUUAGGAUGUUAUA